rnacentral:rRNA from 1 species
ACGGGAGGCAGCAGUAUGGAAUAUUGCACAAUGGGGGAAACCCUGAUGCAGCAACGCCACGUGUGGGAAGAAGCAUUUCGGUGUGUAAACCACUGUCGUGAGGGAAUAAUGCUUAUUUUCGGAUAAGUUGAAUGUAUCUCGAAAGGAAGCACCGGCAAACUUCGUGCCAGCAGCCGCGGUCAUACGAGGGGUGCAAGCGUUGUUCGGAAUCACUGGGCGUAAAGGGAGCGCAGGCGGAGAUGCAAGCGGACUGUACAAUACCGGGGAUCAACCCCGGAACUGCAGUCCGGACUGCACCUCUUGGAUAGUUCAGGGGCAAGAGGAAUUCCUGGUGUAGCGGUGGAAUGCGUAGAGAUCAGGAAGAACACCGAUGGCGAAGGCAGCUUGCUGGGGACUUAUCGACGCUCAUGCUCGAAAGUGCGGGUAGCAAACAGGAUUAGAUACCCUGGUA